rnacentral:rRNA from 1 species
AUAGAGGCCUACCAUGGUGGUAACGGGUAACGGGGUGUUAGGGCACGACACCGGAGAGGGAGCCUGAGAAACGGCUACCACAUCCAAGGAUGGCAGCAGGCGCGCAAAUUACCCAAUCCCGACACGGGGAGGUAGUGACAAUAAAUAACAAUACGGGGUUCUUUCGGAUCUCGUAAUUGGAAUGAGUACAAUUUAAAUCUCUUAACGAGGAACAAUUGGAGGGCAAGUCUGGUGCCAGCAGCCGCGGUAAUUCCAGCUCCAAUAGCGUAUAUUAAAGUUGUUGCAGUUAAAAAGCUCGUAGUUGAAUUUCGGGGUUAGUAGGUUGGUCAUGCCUCUGGUAUGUACUGGUCUCACUGAUUCCUCCUUCCUUAUGAACCGUAAUGCCAUUAAUUUGGUGUUGCGGGGAAUUUGGACUGUUACUUUGAAAAAAUUAGAGUGUUUAAAGCAAGCUAACGCUUGAAUACAUUAGCAUGGAAUAAUGAAAUAGGACGUUCGAUCUUAUUUUGUUGGUUUCUAGGAUUGACGUAAUGAUUAAUAGGGAUAGUUGGGGGCAUUAGUAUUCAAUUGUCAGAGGUGAAAUUCUUGGAUUUAUUGAAGACUAACUACUGCGAAAGCAUUUGCCAAGGAUGUUUUCAUUAAUCAAGAACGAAAGUUAGGGGAUCGAAGACGAUCAGAUACCGUCGUAGUCUUAACCAUAAACUAUGCCGACUAGGGAUCGGAUGAUGU